GUUACAAGCCGCCAAAGAGCAUUCCAUGGUUCACUGUUUCGUAUCAAGACAUGUGCUAAAAUUAGUGAGCUGGUAGCCCAAUCUGGCUGGUGCAGUGUACUUACAUGCAGACUAAUUCAGGGGACUUCCUUGAUGUCGGAAGAUGAGGUGGAGGCAGGCACCAGAGGUGGAGGCGAUGGGGAGGCGGCGGAGGAGGUGAGGAAGAGGGUGGAGUCAACUGCGGCAAUGGGAAGGCGUUGGGCGGAGGAGCCGAUAGCGGAAGCCAGAGUGCAGGUCGAGUCAGAGGUGGGGAGGAGGGGAGGGUUUGAGUGGAGUCCAGCGUGCUGGCCGAUGGAGUCGACGGCGGCGUGCGGCGGUGUGGGUGAGGCGGAGGGGGCUGCGUGGUGGAGGCGGCGCGUGGUGGGAGAGGAGCGAGCAGGCGGGGGGCGCUGGAUUUGGCGGAGGAGGUGGUGCGCGGUGGCGGGGGGCGCACGCGGUGGAUUUGGCGGAGGAGGCGGCGGCGCUGUCAGCAGCGCAGAUGAGGAAUCGGGUGUGGAGUAG
rnacentral:lncRNA from 1 species